CAGCAGCCGCGGGAAAACGAAGGGGGCUAGCGUUGUUCGGAAUUACUGGGCGUAAAGCGCACGUAGGCGGAUAUUUAAGUCAGGGGUGAAAUCCCGCAGCUCAACUGCGGAACUGCCUUUGAUACUGGGUAUCUUGAGUAUGGAAGAGGUUAGUGGAAUUGCGAGUGUAGAGGUGAAAUUCGUAGAUAUUCGCAGGAACACCAGUGGCGAAGGCGACAUACUGGAUCAUUACUGACGCUGAGGCUCGAAAGCGUGGGGAGCAAACAGGAUUAGAUACCCGGGUAGUCCCUGUCUCUUAUAC
rnacentral:rRNA from 1 species